CCUACGGGCGGCAGCAGUGAGGAAUAUUGGUCAAUGGGCGGAAGCCUGAACCAGCCAAGUAGCGUGCAGGAUGACGGCCCUACGGGUUGUAAACUGCUUUUAUACGGGAAUAACGCGCCUUACGUGUAGGGCUUUGCUUGUACCGUAUGAAUAAGGACCGGCUAAUUCGGGGCCACGAGCCGCGGUAAUACGGGGGAUGCGAGCGUUAUCCGGUUUUAUUGGGUUUAAGGGGUGCGCAGGGGGCGUGUUAAGUCAGCGGUAAAAUUUCGGGGCUCAACCCCGACAAGCCGUUGAAACUGGCUUGCUAGAGUGGGCGAGAAGGAUGCGGAAUGCGUGGUGUAGCGGUGAAAUGCAUAGAUAUAACGCAGAACUCCGAUUGCGAAGGCAGCAUACCGGCGCCCAACUGACGCUCAGGCACGAAAGCGUGGGUAUCGAACAGGAUUAGAUACCCUUGUAGUC
rnacentral:rRNA from 1 species